rnacentral:rRNA from 1 species
CCUACGGGUGGCAGCAGUGAGGAAUAUUGGUCAAUGGGCGUAAGCCUGAACCAGCCAAGUCGCGUGAGGGAUGAAGGUCCUAUGGAUUGUAAACCUCUUUUAUAAGGGAAUAAAGUGCGGGACGUGUCCCGUUUUGUAUGUACCUUAUGAAUAAGGAUCGGCUAACUCCGUGCCAGCAGCCGCGGUAAUACGGAGGAUCCGAGCGUUAUCCGGAUUUAUUGGGUUUAAAGGGUGCGUAGGCGGCCUUUUAAGUCAGCGGUGAAAGUCUGUGGCUCAACCAUAGAAUUGCCGUUGAAACUGGGAGGCUUGAGUAUGUUUGAGGCAGGCGGAAUGCGUGGUGUAGCGGUGAAAUGCUUAGAUAUCACGCAGAACCCCGAUUGCGAAGGCAGCCUGCCAAGCCAUGACUGACGCUGAUGCACGAAAGCGUGGGUAUCAAACAGGAUUAGAUACCCCUGUAGUC